rnacentral:rRNA from 1 species
UAUCUCUGUAGAGUCUGCAUAUCAAUAAGCGGAGGAAAAGAAACUAACUAGGAUUCCCUCAGUAACGGCGAGUGAAGCGGGAAGAGCUCAAAUUUGAAAUCUUCAAGGUUUUACCUUGACGUAUUGUAGUUUAAAGAAGUGUUUUCUGUUGGAGUUUUGGUAAAAGUUCUUUGGAAUAGGACAUCAUAGAGGGUGAGAAUCCCGUAUUUGACCAUUAUUUCCAACUUUGUGAUACACUUUCAAAGAGUCGGAUUGUUUGGGAAUGCAGUCCAAAAUGGGUGGUAAAUUUCAUCUAAAGCUAAAUAUUGGCGAGAGACCGAUAGCGAACAAGUACCGUGAGGGAAAGAUGAAAAGAACUUUGAAAAGAGAGUUAAACAGUACGUGAAAUUGUCAAAAGGGAAGCGUUUGGCACCAGUGUUGUUUUCUCGAAAAUCAAUUAAAAAAGAUUGGAUUUUGUGUUGUAUUGACUUUAUCAGCUUUCAGCACUCUUUUUCUUGUCUUUUUUAAUGCACUUUUCGUUUAACAAGUCAACAUCAAUUUCUUUUGCUGUAAAAGAGUCAUUGGAAGGUGGCUUUCUUUUCGGAGAAAGUGUUUAUAGCCUUUGGCUUCUGCAAUCGGAGAGAUUGAGGUCUGCAGCGUAGAUCCUUCUGGGAUUAGAUUACAUUUGUGCUAAGUUAUAGCCUUUCAUAGACAACUUGUUGACUAUGAUCAGUCAUGUAGCUUACUCGCUUAUGCUAUUUUACCUACGCUUAGGAUGUUGAUCUCUCACAGUCGAG